AACCUUAUGGACCUGCGGGCGUAUACCUGCGGAAGGAUCAUUACAGAGUUGCAAAACUCCAACAAACCAUCGCGAAUCUUACCCGUACGGUUGCCUCGGCGCUGGCGGUCCGGAAGGCCCUCGGGCCCCCGGAUCCUCGGGUCUCCCGCUCGCGGGAGGCUGCCCGCCGGAGUGCCGAAACCAAAACUCUUGAUAUUUUAUGUCUCUCUGAGUAAACUUUUAAAUAAGUCAAAACUUUUA
rnacentral:misc_RNA from 1 species